UCCUUGAGUUAUACCCUAUUGUAGUAGCAGCAUUGUUAUGGGGCCACCUCUGGCCCUGUAAAAAGAUAUUAUUUUGGUGUGAUAAUGAAGCUACUGUUGCUAUUGUUAGAAAGGGACGCUCUAAAUGUUUAGAAAUUAUGAAACUUAUGCGUCAAUUAACAUGGUGUGCAGCUCAGUCUAAUUUUCAUUUUAGUGCUAAACAUGUACCUGGUCAUAUCAACCAAAUUUCUGAUGCUUUGUCUCGUUUUCAGAUGACUCGUUUCCGAAAAUUGGCUCCCCAGGCAGAGCAGAACCCUCAUACAUGCCCCAGUGUGUCAGAAGUAAUGUGGUCUUAACAAACACAGUCAACAAAUUAUGGUCUAAUGCUGUAGCUAUGAGGACAAGAGCUGUUUAUGAGACAGGAUAUAACCAUUUCAAAACAUUUCUUCUUUUAAAUGGGGUCAACCUGAAUGGGAACAAAUUACCUCCCAUAUCUGAAGAACUUUUAAUUUAUUUCGUUAGUCAUUGUUUUCAAAUUCUGAAAUUACAAUAUUCUACUAUUAAGCUGUAUAUUUGUGGUAUUAGAUACAUGUGUCUCAAGGACAACAUCCCCUCACCUUUUCAAUCAUCAGACAAAGACCAUAAAUCAAUGGUUCGACUAUCUUUAUUUCUAAAGUCCGUUAAACGUUCACAAAAACAGUCAGUUAGGCCAAGAUUUCCAAUUACUUCUGACAUACUAAAGCAAAUGUGUGUUAAACUGAAGAGAGGCUUUUUUUCAGAAUUUAUAGACUUAAUGCUGGAAACUGUUUGUAUAGUAGCAUUUCAUGGAUUUUUACGUUGUGGUGAAUUUACUGUAGAUAAUGCAUCUAACUUUGAUUCAGAAUCUAAUUUAUGUGUUUCUGAUGUUACAUUUUAUGAAGAUUUUGCAAUUCUUCAUCUAAAGCAGUCUAAAACUGAUCCUUUUAGGAAAGGCAUUGACAUACAACUGCAUAGGCUAAACAAUAUCCUAUGCCCUUAUACAACUUUAAAGCACUACUUACAAAUGAGAUCAGUUAAAGGGAAAUGUGAACUUUCAGAUCCUUUGUUCAUUAAUGAAAAUUUUUCAGCUUUAGAAAGAAAAUAUUUUAUUACAAAUUUAAAAAAUUUUAUUAGAAGCCUGCGGAUACAAAGCAGAGCUAUAUAAUGGCCAUUCCUUUCGUAUAGGCGCAGCAACCAGUGCUGGAAAAGCUAAUGUUGAAGAUCACUUAAUUAAAACAUUGGGUAGAUGGAGUUCUGAUAGUUAUUGUCGCUAUAUAAGAACAGAUAAAUCUUCUAUUAAGAAUGCACAGCAA
rnacentral:lncRNA from 1 species